GUAUGCGGCCACUCUACGGGCUCCCCUCGGCACAUGAUGGUCUUCACAGAGAGGCUGUUUGGAAACAGAGUGACAGGAGUGUGGAGUUCAUGAGUGUUGGAUUUUUCAAGCUAGUAAACCUUGCAGCUGCAA